rfam:Actinobacteria bacterium 13_1_20CM_3_71_11 13_1_20cm_3_scaffold_864, whole genome shotgun sequence.
CUUGACCGAUCCCACGAGUACCGGAUCGGUGCGGUCCUGCCCGUACGUGGCCAGCAGCGCCUGCGCCUC